CUACCCUACUGGAAAGAGCUAGAGGUCUGCUCUUCAAUCGACGUGAUGCACGUGACGAAGAACCUUUGUGUGAACCUACUAGGCUUCUUGGGCGUGUAUGGGAAGACAAAAGAUACACCUGAGGCACGGGAGGACCUGCAACGUUUGCACGAAAAUGACGGCAUGCCUCCGAAG